AGAAAUCAACCUUCAGAUAUGUAGUUGGCACACAGUGAACUUCCCCUCUCUUCUCACAUUUUCUCUUCUUCCUCUCACCUUCCUCUUAGUGUUAUUGUUAUUUUUGCUGCUGUUCUUAAGGUGGAUCUCCUUUUAUUCAGUGCCUUUUAAGAUGCUAACAUUAGCAGAAAUGAUUAGGAAAAAUACAGCUCACAAGUCCCAUGUGAAAAGGUGAUGUCCAUACCUCACAUAAUCAGGAGAAACCCCAUGUAGUUUGCUGCCCGAAAAUUAACAGAGCAUCCAACAAAAGCAGGUAUCACUUUCCAAGAGCAGUGGAGCAGUCCCUGCAGACAGCCUGCCACUUAGACUGGGCUCAUACGGGAGCUAUUCAGCUCCUUGAGAGUAGGGCUGGGCUGGCUUUUGUUCACUGUUUAUUUCUUCACGAUUAUCAAAAUAUUCAACUCAGAUGUACUGAAUGCAUUCAUAAACAAAGGAAUCAAUGGGUGAAUGCCAUGAUAUGAUGUCAUGGCUAUUUGCUCCUCUCAAAAGCAAUCUACGCAAGUGAAUUUGUAAAUGUUCAAAGUGAUGGUAAUAUUCUUUGCUAUGGAAAAGAAGUGAAAAGUAUCAGGUACAACAGGUCUGGGAAUGUGAGUAUUUGCCUAUCGUUUGAAUCCCUGAAUCUGUUCUGUGGUGAGGGGAAGGAAUGUUGGUCCCAAAGAGUGGAGCACAAAGGCGGCCCUAACCCAACAAGAGUGGGGUGCCUUGGGCAAGGUUUCUGCGGAGACCAUGUGGGGAAGGAGUCCCUGUAAUUUCAAAGCUAAGGCAGAAAUCACCUUUAAUGCGUAGCUGUGUUUGGGGCGGAUAGCCCUCCUCUGAGACAUGUGAUGUUUUCUCCUGAAAGCAAAUCAAAACCUGAGUAAACAAGAACCAGUGAUGGCAGAUGAAGAUAUCACAUGGGUCGCCACGGUUGAAGAGCCGCCAUAUUCAUCUUUGAGUAGCAUCUUGAGCCUAGGACUUUAAACCAAGAAAAGCUUUCCUGAAGGAGUGAGAUCUAGUCAUCACAAUAGGCAACAACUGUGGCCCCACUUCAUUGAGAGAUGCCUGAAAUCAAAGCUGAGUCAGCUCAGAGAAGCAUUCAGUAUGCAUUUUCCAUCUCUGCUCUUUCUUCUUGAGGUAUAGACUUGUGGGCAAAUUUAUGAAAAUCAGCCAUUGCUCUACACACUCACUUCCUUUAUUCUUACUUCUGGUAUUCUUUGAAUGGUUUAUCCAACAAAUAGUUAUUAUUCUCAAGUUUAUAAAUUGUUUUUGAAUAUGUUUUUAUUUCCAAGGCCUUUCUCUAUAGCUUCAGUAUUUCUAUUGGACUUAAUUUGUCUUUGGAUUAACAAAAUGUCUCCAAAAUUGUUCUUAGUUUCCUCCAAAGAAAAUUUUCUUCUUCUGUCUAUUGUUCAUCGCUUUCUUGUUCUGCACUGUGGUCAUACUCAAUGUUCUGGGAAUCUAUCCAAGUACUUUCAUAUACUUUGAAAUGAGAAGACAAAGGAUGAUAAGGACAUCAGCCAAUUUCUUCCGCUCUCUGGUCACAACAAGGGAGUUAAAACAUGAAUGUGGCAGAAACUACAUCUAAAGCAUGUAGUUCAAAAUCUGAGUGCUACACACAUGAUUGAUCAUGCAUGCAGCUUCUAAUGCAUGGCUUGAAUGCAAUAUAUUUAAAUAUUGAACAUCAAAACUCUUGCAUAUGUUUCAAAUAACAAGGUUGAUGUCAUGUUAAGGCUUCUUUGUGGAAAAGUUCAUACUUAAGACUAUCUGUUUUCAUUGGCAUUGCUUGGGAAAUUUUUAAUUCCAUUAGUUGUCAUACAUAUAUUCCAUGUAUGAGUUACUUCUGAAACCCUUUUGCAAUCUUGUAAGAAGCACAUGUGUGAGCACAUGUUUUAAAAAAGUCAUUGGUAUUUUAAAACCACUAGUUAGUCUUCUGUAUUAAAACUGACACGCAUGCGAAGUUUACAUUCCAACUUCUCUCACCUACUCACAGAUUAAGGUAUCUGGUUUUUUUCUUCCUCUUCAGUCUCAUCACAUGUGCUGAAUGGAUAAUUCUCAAUAGCAUAAAAUCAUGUGAUGUGAUUUUUAUUCCAUCUUGAAAUAAUCCCUUUGAUCCACAAUCCCCCUUCAACUACUGUCCGUUUCCCUGCUCUUCUCUGCUGUAACACUCUCACAAGUUGUCAAUACCUGCUUUUCCCCUUCUUUUUAUUUCCUUUUAUUCUUUCUUUCUCCAGUAUUUCCAUGAAAACCACCUUGUGGUCACAUUUCCAAAUACAAUGCUUGAUUCUUUACCAUUAUUAUAGUCAAUUUAAACUGUUCUAUCAGUUCCUGCUUUACAGCAAAGUGACCCUGUCAUACAUCUCUACACUCAUUAUCUGUUACUACAUUCGAUCACAAGUGAUUGGACAUCAUUCCCUGUGCUAUAUAGCAGGACCUCAUUGUCUAUCCAUUCUGAAUGUAACAGUUUGCAUCUAUUAACUGCCAACACCCAGUCCAUCCCACACCCUCCCCCUCCCCUAUGGCAACCACAAAUCUGCUGUCCAUGUCUGAGAGUCUAUUUCUGUUCUGUAGAUAGGUUCAUCUGUGCCAUAUUUCAGAUUCCACAUUUAAGUGAUAUCAUAUGGUAUCUGUCUUCUUUCUGACUGACUUAGUACGAGAAUCUCUUAUUCCAUCCACUUGCUGCAAAUGGCAUUAUCUUGUUCUUUUUUAUGUCUGAGUAAUAUUUAAUUUUUUAAAAUUUAAGUGUAUUUGAUUUACACUGUUGUGCCAGUAUCUGCUGUACAGCAGAAUGACCCAGUCAUAUAUUUCCUUUCUUAUAUUAUUUCCAUUAUCUUCUUAUAUUAUUUCCAUUAUGUUUUAUCCCAAGAGAUUGGAUAAACUUCCCUGUGCUAUACAGUAGGAUGUCAUUGCUUAUCCUUUCUAAAUAUAAUAGUUUGCAUCUACUAACCCCAAACCCCCAGUCCAUCUCACUCCUUUUCCCCUCCUUUUGGCAACUUAUUAUCUUCCUUCAAACAGAAUUUGAUAGAGUUGUCAUUCAGUAUUUCUUUUCAUGAUUUUUGUAUCUGUCUUCUGAGACCCUUGAUUCUUGUCCUGCCUCAUUAGCCACUCCUGGUUUUCUGUGCAGGGUCAUCCUCUCUAUUCUUCCAAACACUGGAGUGACUUAGCCGUGAGUGUUCACCUCUUUUCCCUCUAUCAUCACUUCAUAGGUGAUGUUAGCCCAGUUCCAUUCAUAUGCCAACAAUUUCUAAAUGUCCAUCUCCAUCAUGUACCUCCACUUUCCAAUCAAGCUGUCCAUUCCUACCUCCACAUGGAGGUCAGCCAGGCCUAGCGCUUCUCUCAGACCCUACAUCCUCAAAGCCAAAUCUCCGCAUUCUAGCUGCCAUGAUACCACCAUUUCCUCUCUUAAUCUCAGGAAAUGCCAGCUCUUUGCUUUCAGGUGAGUUGAACUAGUUUUUUUUGUUUGUUUGUUUGUUUGUUUGUUUUUAAAGUAGCCAACAAAUAUCCGGUUAUUUUUGUUCAGAAGACACUUGGGAAUCUUAACUGAGUACCUGUUUAAAUACUCUCACAAAUAGAACUAGGUAAACUAUCAAUGUGGAAACAUAUUCAUCUAGGCAGUAUUAACUACUGAAGAUUUUCUAAAAUAGAUGUGUCUUUGAAUGUGACUUGGAGUUGGAGAGCAAAUGUUAUAUGAUUAAAAGGAAUAAACUGGAUAAAGAUAUGGGCUGCUUUAACUAAGCUAAAAAUUGAGAAACAUCAAUUAAUUCAAUUACUAAAUAUAUACAGAGUCCUUGCUUUGUGCCAGCUCUUUGUUAUGUGCUGUUAAUUUGAAUGGUGGCAAAAUUAGAAUGGUUUUGGCCAUUGUAUUACAUUGGUUAAGCUAUCCCCAUAACAUCAAAGUGCAAGUGAAGCAGGAAAUGCUGAUGUAAAAGCUGUAGCAAGUUAUCCAGAAGAUCUAGCUAAGAUAGUUAAUGAAAGUGUCUACACUAAGCCACAGAUUUUCAGUUUAGAUGAAAUAGCCUUCUUUUGGAAGAAGAUGCCAUCUAGGACUUUUAUAGCUAGAGGGAAGUCACUACUUGACUUGAAAGCUCCAAAAGACGGACUCUCUUAUUGGGGGUUAAUGUACCUGGUGACUUUAAGCCAAAGCCAUUGCUUGCUUAUCAUUCCCCAAAGCCUAGAACCCUUAAGAAUUAUGCUAAAUCUACUCCACUUGUUCUCUAUAAAUGAAAAAACAAGACCAGCAUGGCAACACAUCUGUUUAAAACAUGGUUUACUGGAUAUUUUAAGCCCACUGUUAAGAUAUACUGCUCAGGAAAAAAAAAUUCCUUUUAAAAUAUUACUGCUCAGUGACAAUGAACCUAGUUACCUCAGGAGCUCUGGUGGAUGUAUUCAAUGAGAUGGAUAUUGUUUAUAUGCCUAUUAAUAAAACAACAGUUCUUUAGCCCAUGGAUCAAAGAAUAAUUCCUACUUUCAAACCUUAUUAUUUAAGAAAUUCAUCUCAUAAAGCUUAGCUUCCAUAGACAGUGAUUCCUCUGAUGGAUUUGGGUAAAGUAAACUGAAAAUCAUCUGGAAAAGAUUCACCAUUCCAGAUGCCAUUAAAACAUUCAUGAUUAUGCAAAGGGUUCAAAAUGUCAAAAUUAAUAGAAGUUUGGAAGGAGUUGAUUCCAACCCUCACGGAUGUCUUUGAGGGAUUCAACACUUCAGUGGAGGAAACAACUGCAGAUGUGGUGCAAACAGCAAGAGAACUGGAAUUAGAAGUGGAACCUGGAGAUGGGACUGAAUUGCUGCAUCUCAUUAUAUACCUUGAAUGGAUGAGGAAUUGCUUCUAAUUGAUGAGCAAAGAAAGUGGUUUUUUGAGGUGGAAAGUAUGGCUGAUGAAGAUGCUGGGAAGUUUAUUGAAAUGACAACAAAUAAUUUAGAAUGUGACAUAUAUUUCUUUGAUAAAGCAGCAGGAGAGUUUGAGAAGAUUGUUUCCAAUUUUGAAAGAAGUUCUACUGUGGGUAAAAUGUGACCAAACAGCAUAGAGAAAUUGUUCAUGAAAGGAAGAGUCAAUCAAUGGGGAAAAUGUUAUUCUUAUUUUAAGAAAUGGCCAAAGCCACCCCAAGCUUUAGCAGCCACCAUCCUGAUCAGUUAGCAGCCAUCAAGACUGAGAUAAGAUCCUCCACCAGAAAAAGAAAAUUGAGUUGUUGAAAGCUCAUGAUUUUUAGCAAUAAAUGUGUUUUAAUUAAGAUAUGUACAUUGUAUUUCAGACACAAUGCUAUUGUACACAUAAUAGACUACAAUAUAGUAUAAACAUAACUUGUAUAUGCACUGGGAAGCCAAAAAAAAUGUAUGUGAUUUGCCAUAUUGAGAUCAUCACUUUAUUCUGGUGAUCUGUAACAAACCUGCAAUAUCUCUGAGGUCUGUCUGUAUUAACCUUCUUCUUAUUCUGGUAUGACUCAGAGGGUCUCAUUUUCCAUCUCAUUAUCUCUUCAAUGCAUUUCUUCUACUCACAUGUAUAUAGCUCCUAGAAAAAGUUCACAAAAAGCAAUUUGUUCCAGGUUUCUAUAUUUUCAAUAAUGGCUUGAAAUUCAGCAAUAUUAUGAGGUCUCUUAUUCACUGGCAUCUCCAGGUCAAUUGUGGUGGUGUUGUGAUUUGUAAUAUGAGGAAAGGACACUCCAGUCUUUGAUGAUGGGAAAGUUUCAGAAGGAGGAGAAAGAGGCAAAUUAGAAAAGCUGAAAUGCGAUGACAGCGGAGCAGUAGAAAAGAUUCUGAAGCACCUGAAAAUAUGUUCCAGGUUCUAUUUUAGAUGAAGAAUGAUGAGAAGCCCCAGAUGCCACAAGUGUCAGAGACAGAAAUAAGCCUGCCCUUCUGACCAGCAUCCUUUAGACUCUUCCUAAGGUAUUGUCCACUGGGGUCUCACUUGAAAAGGGAAGUGGAUACUGUGGAGAGGGCUCAAGGAGCACAAAGCCCUAGAGACUGAGAACAAGCCCUGUGCUUCAGCCGAAGGGUGGAGUGCUCUAUUUUCAGUUGUUAGAAGAGAAAGCUUUUGGUCAUAAUAACCAUUCUUGGGGAAUAGGAAAAGCUUUUUUUAAAAAAAAGAAUUUAUUUUUUUUCUCUACAAAGAAUCAAAGAAGGGGGGAAAGAAGUAGAAAUACAAAAUAACUCUUCCUGAAUCUAAUUGAGUGAUGAAACCACAGCUGGAAGCCUCCAGCUUUUCUACACAAUGGCAGUUAGUAUUUAUCCACCUGGAUGCAAACGGCUGGUCCAGAUGACAUCCUGCUUAUCUGCCAGGCGUUCUCAUCUGGGCUCUUCCUGUGUAGCACGAAGGCAUUCUGCAUAAUGCGAAUCAUCUGUCAGGGCUUGGAACUGGUAAUGAUGUGAGCCAUCACUGGUUUACAUACCAAAAAUAUCUGUUACCAGGAAGCUCCUACAACCUGUAUGUGAUGUCAGAGUUUACUCUCAACCAUUAUCACUUCUAAGUAAAGAAAGUUGUAUGUUGUUUCAGUCUACCAAAAAAAAAAAAAAA
rnacentral:lncRNA from 1 species